UUAACUCAAAUUUUUAUGGAGUUGGAACGUUUGCCGCUAGGAGCGCUGUUCAACUGUAUACAAAUUUGAGUUA
rnacentral:pre_miRNA from 1 species